CCGCUUCCCGCCCACAGCCUUCUCCGCGCCCCUACCCCCUCCCAGGGCGAACCGUCUUGGGCGCAUGGAUAUUUCCCUGCCGCCACCACCGCCAAAACAACCGCAGCCCCCUAUAAGUACCUCCGCGUCGAGGGCAGCACCACGGCGGCAUUUUUUUGGGGUUGGAUUGGAAGGCUCGCGAGGCUCAGCACCGCCAGAAAACCCUUUCUCCCCGAUAGCUGGUGCUCCCUUUCUCCCCGACGGAGCACACGCACCGCCAGUCCUUCCAGGUCCUGCUCAGUUGAAAACAAAGGGUGCCUCCCUGCUAAAGGAUUACUGUACCAAUUUAAUUAAAGGAGUUUGCCGACACCAAACAUGAUCCUUUGUGGCUUGUGAUAAGGUAUUCGGUAGCAUUUUGAGCUGUUGUUGCAGGUCUGUCGUUUUUGAGCUGUCAUUUCCUGGUAUUCGGUAGCAUUUUGAGCUGUUGUUGCAGGUCUGUCGUUUUUGAGCUGUCAUUUCCUGGUGAGUGGUGAUUUGUUCCUUCCAUUGAAGCAUGCACUUUAGUUAUCAUGUAUUUAACAUUUUUCUGCUGCAUAUUUAAGUUAUCCUAUGAUUUAGGAUGAUGGUAUACC